rnacentral:lncRNA from 1 species
GCCGCCCAAUGGCGAGGCAGCGCGAGGCUUCCCGGAAGUGGUGGCGCGGUCAGGGCUGGCCUUGGCUUCAGCUGCGGUUUUGGGGUUCAGGACGCUGGGAUCGGCGGCGCUAUGAGUUCUUUCGAGGGGCAGAUGGCCGAGUAUCCAACUAUCUCCAUAGACCGCUUCGACAGGGAGAACCUGAGGGCCCGCCCCUACUUCCUGUCCCACUGCCACAAAGGUCACAUGAAAGGAUUAAGAGCCCCUACCUUGAAAAGAAGGUUGGAGUGCAGCUUGGAGGUUUAUCUAUACUGUUCACCUGUGACUAAGGAGUUGUUGUUAACGAGCCGGAAAUACAGAUUUUGGAAGAAACAAAUUAUAUCUAUUGAAAUCGAGACUCCUACCCAGAUAUCUUUAGUGGAUGAAGCAUCAGGAGAGGUUUUUAUUUCAGGGCAAUAAUGGAACUAUCUUGUACACAGGAGACUUCAGAUUGGUGCAAGGAGAAGCUGCUAGAAUGGAGCUUCUGUACUCCAGGGGCAGAGUCAAAGACAUCCAAAGUGUAUAUUUAGAUACUAUGUUGUGUGAUCCAAGAUUUUACCAAAUUCCAAGUCGGGAGGAGUGUUUAAGUGGAGUCUUAGAGCUGGUUCAAAGCUGGAUCACUCGGAGCCUGUACCGUGUUGUGUGGCUGAACUGCAAAGCGGCUUAUGGCUAUGGAUAUUUGUUCACCAACCUUAGUGAAGAAUUAGGAGUCCAGCUCACCUUUCCUCCCCCUCCUCGCCUGCUAAAUAACUGCAGACAGGGACAGAUGGAAGCACCCUAUCAAGAUGUGUCUGCAGCAGAUGUUGGCGGGCCCUCUGAAGGAAUAUAUCAUCUUAGUUCAGUCACAUCCUCCUGGGAGAAAAUUGACAGAAGCCCAAAUGGCUUACAAGAGCCUUCAGUGAAAUGCCCCAUAGACAAAGUAUUUUUCCCAAACUUUGGGUCGUGAAAUAAAUUUAGCGAUUGUGACCAGCAUUGAAAAUAAAUUUGAACAAGG